rnacentral:tRNA from 1 species
GGGAGUGCGCCGGAGUUGGAGAGCCGGGGCAGACUGUAAAUCUGUUGUCUACGACUGAGUAGGUUCGAAUCCUACCACUCCCAC